rnacentral:tRNA from 1 species
GGAGGAGUGGCAGAGUGGACGAAUGCGGCGGUCUCGAAAACCGUUGUCCGGCAUACGCCGGACCAGGGGUUCGAAUCCCCUCUCCUCCG